rnacentral:rRNA from 1 species
AGAGUUUGAUCCUGGCUCAGAUUGAACGCUGGCGGCAGGCCUAACACAUGCAAGUCGAACGGUAACAGGAAACAGCUUGCUGUUUCGCUGACGAGUGGCGGACGGGUGAGUAAUGUCUGGGAAACUGCCUGAUGGAGGGGGAUAACUACUGGAAACGGUAGCUAAUACCGCAUAACGUCGCAAGACCAAAGAGGGGGACCUUCGGGCCUCUUGCCAUCAGAUGUGCCCAGAUGGGAUUAGCUAGUAGGUGGGGUAACGGCUCACCUAGGCGACGAUCCCUAGCUGGUCUGAGAGGACGACCAGCCACACUGGAACUGAGACACGGUCCAGACUCCUACGGGAGGCAGCAGUGGGGAAUAUUGCACAAUGGGCGCAAGCCUGAUGCAGCCAUGCCGCGUGUAUGAAGAAGGCCUUCGGGUUGUAAAGUACUUUCAGCGGGGAGGAAGGGAGUAAAGUUAAUACCUUUGCUCAUUGACGUUACCCGCAGAAGAAGCACCGGCUAACUCCGUGCCAGCAGCCGCGGUAAUACGGAGGGUGCAAGCGUUAAUCGGAAUUACUGGGCGUAAAGCGCACGCAGGCGGUUUGUUAAGUCAGAUGUGAAAUCCCCGGGCUCAACCUGGGAACUGCAUCUGAUACUGGCAAGCUUGAGUCUCGUAGAGGGGGGUAGAAUUCCAGGUGUAGCGGUGAAAUGCGUAGAGAUCUGGAGAAUACCGGUGGCGAAGGCGGCCCCUGGACGAAGACUGACGCUCAGGUGCGAAAGCGUGGGGGAGCAACAGGAUUAGAUACCCUGGUAGUCCACGCCGUAAACGAUGUCGACUUGGAGGUUGUGCCCUUGAGGCGUGGCUUCCGGAGCUAACGCGUUAAGUCGACCGCCUGGGGAGUACGGCCGCAAGGUUAAAACUCAAAUGAAUUGACGGGGGCCCGCACAAGCGGUGGAGCAUGUGGUUUAAUUCGAUGCAACGCGAAGAACCUUACCUGGUCUUGACAUCCACGGAAGUUUUCAGAGAUGAGAAUGUGCCUUCGGGAACCGUGAGACAGGUGCUGCAUGGCUGUCGUCAGCUCGUGUUGUGAAAUGUUGGGUUAAGUCCCGCAACGAGCGCAACCCUUAUCCUUUGUUGCCAGCGGUCCGGCCGGGAACUCAAAGGAGACUGCCAGUGAUAAACUGGAGGAAGGUGGGGAUGACGUCAAGUCAUCAUGGCCCUUACGACCAGGGCUACACACGUGCUACAAUGGCGCAUACAAAGAGAAGCGACCUCGCGAGAGCAAGCGGACCUCAUAAAGUGCGUCGUAGUCCGGAUUGGAGUCUGCAACUCGACUCCAUGAAGUCGGAAUCGCUAGUAAUCGUGGAUCAGAAUGCCACGGUGAAUACGUUCCCGGGCCUUGUACACACCGCCCGUCACACCAUGGGAGUGGGUUGCAAAAGAAGUAGGUAGCUUAACCUUCGGGAGGGCGCUUACCACUUUGUGAUUCAUGACUGGGGUGAAGUCGUAACAAGGUAGCCGUA